rnacentral:rRNA from 1 species
AAUAUUAUGCUAAGUGUGUGCAUGUGUGCAAGAUAUCAAGCUGCUCCUAAAGAAUGUCAUCUUAAGGCUGUGAAAAGGAUAGUGAGAUACUUAAUACACACACCAAAUUUUGGCAUUUGGUAUCCUAAGAGGGCCUCUUUCGAUCUUGUUGGCUACUAUGACUCAGAUUAUGCCGGAGACAAGGUUGACAGAAAGUCCACUUUGGGUACUUGUAAAUUUCUUGGUAGAUCCCUUGUGUCUUGGUCCUCCAAGAAACAAAACUUGGUAUCCUUAUCUACCGCCGAAGCGAAGUACAUUGCCGCUGGUUCAUGUUGUGCUCAAUUACUUUGGAGGACCCAAACUCUUAAAGAUUAUGGGAUACAUGUGAAA